UUGAUUGAAAGAUUAAAAUGAGGCCUCCGAAUUAGAAGUGCUUUACAACAGUUAGAAAGCUAACUUCUAAAGAUGGCAUCGAUUAAGAUUGAGAAACCAGCUGGUUCUCAAGCACAGCCACCGCCUGGGCAGGUUAAGAAAGAGCCUGCCAAAGCUCCAGCCUCCAAACCAGCCCCUAAGAAGACCGAGCAGAAGCCUCGGGAGCCAAGGAAAAAGGCAUCAGGUGGCAAGUCAGCUGCAGCAAAGAACUAAGAACAAGGAUGAUUGACUUGCUGUUACAAAUAUUGUAAUAUAGUAAGUAUGACACUAUGACAGUCAGUUAAGGUUUUGCCUGUUCCCGGCUGUCCCUUAGUUUACCGAAGUUAUACCACCGCUGGAUUGUAAUCCAUCUAUGUAACUUUUCCCUUCCUAGCUUGGCCUAAUAAUCACAUAUAAAUCUUAUUACGAUAUUAA